GGCAUCGAUGAGAAGUCUGACGGAGCACGCCGCGUGAGUGAUGAAGGUUUUCGGAUCGUAAAACUCUGUUGUUAGGGAAGAACAAGUACCGUUCGAAUAGGGCGGUACCUUGACGGUACCUAACCAGAAAGCCACGGCUAACUACGUGCCAGCAGCCGCGGUAAUACGUAGGUGGCAAGCGUUGUCCGGAAUUAUUGGGCGUAAAGCGCGCGCAGGCGGUUUCUUAAGUCUGAUGUGAAAGCCCCCGGCUCAACCGGGGAGGGUCAUUGGAAACUGGGGAACUUGAGUGCAGAAGAGGAGAGUGGAAUUCCACGUGUAGCGGUGAAAUGCGUAGAGAUGUGGAGGAACACCAGUGGCGAAGGCGACUCUCUGGUCUGUAACUGACGCUGAGGCGCGAAAGCGUGGGGAGCGAACAGGAUUAGAUACCCUGGUAGUCCACGCCGUAAACGAUGAGUGCUAAGUGUUAGAGGGUUUCCGCCCUUUAGUGCUGCAGCAAACGCAUUAAGCACUCCGCCUGGGGAGUACGGUCGCAAGACUGAAACUCUGAA
rnacentral:rRNA from 1 species